UAACUUUCAGCAACGGAUCUCUUGGCUCUCGCAUCGAUGAAGAACGCAGCGAAAUGCGAUAAGUAAUGUGAAUUGCAGAAUUCAGUGAAUCAUCGAAUCUUUGAACGCACCUUGCGCUCCUUGGUAUUCCGAGGAGCAUGCCUGUUUGAGUGUCAUG
rnacentral:rRNA from 2 species